GACGAACGCUGGCGGCGCGCUUAACACAUGCAAGUCGAGCGAGAACCAGGACUUCGGUCCUGGGGACAGCGGCGAACGGGUGAGUAACACGUGGAUAACCUGCCCUCGGCACCGGGAUAGCCCGGGGAAACUCGGAUUAAUACCGGAUAGCCCUUCCGACUCUCGAGUCGGUCCGAAAAGGUAGCUUCGGCCUCUGGCCGAGGGAUGGGGUCCGCGGCGGAUUAGCUUGUUGGUGGGGUAACGGCCUACCAAGGCUCGAUCCGUAGCUGGUCUGAGAGGACGAUCAGCCACACUGGGACUGAGACACGGCCCAGACUCCUACGGGAGGCAGCAGUGGGGAAUCUUGCGCAAUGGGCGAAAGCCUGACGCAGCGACGCCGCGUGAGGGAGGAAGGCCU
rnacentral:rRNA from 1 species